AACUUUGGUGGCCUAGUUGUUAGAGGGUCUGCCUUGCAUGCGGGAGGUUGCGGGUUCAAAACCCCGGCAGGGUUA